GACGAACGCUGGCGGCGUGCUUAACACAUGCAAGUCGAACGGAAAGGCCCUGCUUUUGUGGGGUUCUCGAGUGGCGAACGGGUGAGUAACACGUGAGUAACCUUCCCUUUACUUUGGGAUAACUUCAGGAAACUUGUGCUAAUACCGGAUAUGAUCUCCUGCUGCAUUGUGUUGUUUGGUUAGUUUCGGCGGUUGGGGAUGGACUCGCGGCUUAUCAGCUUGUUUGUGGGGUAGUGGCUUACCAAGGCUUUGACGGGUAGCCGGCCUGAGAGGGUGACCGGAGACAUUGGGACUGAGAUACGGCGCAGACGAGUACGGGAGGCAGCAGUGGGGAAGAUUGCACAAUGGGCGGAAGCAUGAUGAAGAAACGCGGCGUGCGGGAUGACGGCCUUCGGGUUGUAAACAGCUUUAGCAUGUGACGAGGAGUGAGUGACGGUAAUGGGUAAAGAAGCAACGGCUAACUACGUG
rnacentral:rRNA from 1 species